rnacentral:lncRNA from 10 species
GAGGCUAAAAUGUUAAAUCACUGGUGGUUAUGUCCUCUCAUUUCCUAAUGAAGAAAUACCUGACCUGGAUACAAAUGUUUCAUGAUCUCAGUACAAACAGUGAUGUUUUAAAUUAAGCUAUACCGGCAUGAGCCACCGUGCCCAGCCUGAUUAUAAUUUAUAUUGGAAGUUAUUGUAUAAGCAGAAAAUUCAGAGAGAUCCAGAAAAGAGGUGGGAGCUCUUUGGGUUUUAAUAGUUGGAAAACACUGCAUGGAAAAAAUCCAGCAUGACCUGGAUCUUUAUAAUAGUAUACAUAAGGAAGAGACCUGUAAGGAAACACCUGUCAUACUUGUCUGUUCAAUGGCACUAACACAAAUAAACAAAUAGGCUCACUCUCAAUGUUUGAAUACAGCCCAAACAAUAGAAGCAGAGCUCAGUGUGACAUGGAAUUCCAUGACAACCUUCCUUCUAAGCAAAUUCCAUUCAAUUUUCAUCCCCACUUAAUCACUUGCACCAUCAGUUUAAACUAGAUUUUAUAAGAACCUGCCUGCUAAUGAAUACUAUUAUUUCUGCAUAGGGUUUUAUAGAGAUUUUAAAAUGCUUCUCAUAUAUCAUCUCAGUUGAUCUUCACAGCAAAUCUGUAAAGUUGGUAGGGUUUAUUGGUCCUUAUUUUAUAGAUGGCCUGAAAAGUUAGGUGCCUUGCAAAGGUCAUGCCAUUAACAAAGAAGGUAUAUAAUGUUGACGUGAAGUCCUAUAUGCUUUCUGCAGCAACAGAUCACCUCUUGUAUCAUGACCAAAUGUGAAUCUAACUCAUUUUAAUUCAUUUUUUCUCUUCUGUCCCUUCCUCUAUCUCCAUGCUUCUUUUUUGAAGAUCUUCCCUUAAUUUUUUUUUCCUGAAGCCUACAAAUUUCU